rnacentral:tRNA from 2 species
GCGGUUAUGGUGGAAUUGGUAGACACGCUAUCUUGAGGGGGUAGUAUGCCUUGCAUGUGCGAGUUCAAGUCUCGCUAACCGCACCA